rnacentral:rRNA from 1 species
UUAAGCGACUAAGCGUACACGGUGGAUGCCCUGGCAGUCAGAGGCGAUGAAGGACGUGCUAAUCUGCGAUAAGCGUCGGUAAGGUGAUAUGAACCGUUAUAACCGGCGAUUUCCGAAUGGGGAAACCCAGUGUGAUUCGUCACACUAUCAUUAACUGAAUCCAUAGGUUAAUGAGGCGAACCGGGGGAACUGAAACAUCUAAGUACCCCGAGGAAAAGAAAUCAACCGAGAUUCCCCCAGUAGCGGCGAGCGAACGGGGAGCAGCCCAGAGCCUGAAUCAGUGUGUGUGUUAGUGGAAGUGUCUGGAAAGGCGCGCGAUACAGGGUGACAGCCCCGUACACAAAAAUGCACAUGCUGUGAGCUCGAUGAGUAGGGCGGGACACGUGGUAUCCUGUCUGAAUAUGGGGGGACCAUCCUCCAAGGCUAAAUACUCCUGACUGACCGAUAGUGAACCAGUACCGUGAGGGAAAGGCGAAAAGAACCCCGGCGAGGGGAGUGAAAAAGAACCUGAAACCGUGUACGUACAAGCAGUGGGAGCACGCUUAGGCGUGUGACUGCGUACCUUUUGUAUAAUGGGUCAGCGACUUAUAUUCUGUAGCAAGGUUAACCGAAUAGGGGAGCCGAAGGGAAACCGAGUCUUAACUGGGCGUUAAGUUGCAGGGUAUAGACCCGAAACCCGGUGAUCUAGCCAUGGGCAGGUUGAAGGUUGGGUAACACUAACUGGAGGACCGAACCGACUAAUGUUGAAAAAUUAGCGGAUGACUUGUGGCUGGGGGUGAAAGGCCAAUCAAACCGGGAGAUAGCUGGUUCUCCCCGAAAGCUAUUUAGGUAGCGCCUCGUGAAUUCAUCUCCGGGGGUAGAGCACUGUUUCGGCAAGGGGGUCAUCCCGACUUACCAACCCGAUGCAAACUGCGAAUACCGGAGAAUGUUAUCACGGGAGACACACGGCGGGUGCUAACGUCCGUCGUGAAGAGGGAAACAACCCAGACCGCCAGCUAAGGUCCCAAAGUCAUGGUUAAGUGGGAAACGAUGUGGGAAGGCCCAGACAGCCAGGAUGUUGGCUUAGAAGCAGCCAUCAUUUAAAGAAAGCGUAAUAGCUCACUGGUCGAGUCGGCCUGCGCGGAAGAUGUAACGGGGCUAAACCAUGCACCGAAGCUGCGGCAGCGACGCUGAUGCGUUGUUGGGUAGGGGAGCGUUCUGUAAGCCUGCGAAGGUGUGCUGUGAGGCAUGCUGGAGGUAUCAGAAGUGCGAAUGCUGACAUAAGUAACGAUAAAGCGGGUGAAAAGCCCGCUCGCCGGAAGACCAAGGGUUCCUGUCCAACGUUAAUCGGGGCAGGGUGAGUCGACCCCUAAGGCGAGGCCGAAAGGCGUAGUCGAUGGGAAACAGGUUAAUAUUCCUGUACUUGGUGUUACUGCGAAGGGGGGACGGAGAAGGCUAUGUUGGCCGGGCGACGGUUGUCCCGGUUUAAGCGUGUAGGCUGGUUUUCCAGGCAAAUCCGGAAAAUCAAGGCUGAGGCGUGAUGACGAGGCACUACGGUGCUGAAGCAACAAAUGCCCUGCUUCCAGGAAAAGCCUCUAAGCAUCAGGUAACAUCAAAUCGUACCCCAAACCGACACAGGUGGUCAGGUAGAGAAUACCAAGGCGCUUGAGAGAACUCGGGUGAAGGAACUAGGCAAAAUGGUGCCGUAACUUCGGGAGAAGGCACGCUGAUAUGUAGGUGAAGUCCCUCGCGGAUGGAGCUGAAAUCAGUCGAAGAUACCAGCUGGCUGCAACUGUUUAUUAAAAACACAGCACUGUGCAAACACGAAAGUGGACGUAUACGGUGUGACGCCUGCCCGGUGCCGGAAGGUUAAUUGAUGGGGUUAGCGCAAGCGAAGCUCUUGAUCGAAGCCCCGGUAAACGGCGGCCGUAACUAUAACGGUCCUAAGGUAGCGAAAUUCCUUGUCGGGUAAGUUCCGACCUGCACGAAUGGCGUAAUGAUGGCCAGGCUGUCUCCACCCGAGACUCAGUGAAAUUGAACUCGCUGUGAAGAUGCAGUGUACCCGCGGCAAGACGGAAAGACCCCGUGAACCUUUACUAUAGCUUGACACUGAACAUUGAGCCUUGAUGUGUAGGAUAGGUGGGAGGCUUUGAAGUGUGGACGCCAGUCUGCAUGGAGCCGACCUUGAAAUACCACCCUUUAAUGUUUGAUGUUCUAACGUGGACCCGUAAUCCGGGUUGCGGACAGUGUCUGGUGGGUAGUUUGACUGGGGCGGUCUCCUCCUAAAGAGUAACGGAGGAGCACGAAGGUUGGCUAAUCCUGGUCGGACAUCAGGAGGUUAGUGCAAUGGCAUAAGCCAGCUUGACUGCGAGCGUGACGGCGCGAGCAGGUGCGAAAGCAGGUCAUAGUGAUCCGGUGGUUCUGAAUGGAAGGGCCAUCGCUCAACGGAUAAAAGGUACUCCGGGGAUAACAGGCUGAUACCGCCCAAGAGUUCAUAUCGACGGCGGUGUUUGGCACCUCGAUGUCGGCUCAUCACAUCCUGGGGCUGAAGUAGGUCCCAAGGGUAUGGCUGUUCGCCAUUUAAAGUGGUACGCGAGCUGGGUUUAGAACGUCGUGAGACAGUUCGGUCCCUAUCUGCCGUGGGCGCUGGAGAACUGAGGGGGGCUGCUCCUAGUACGAGAGGACCGGAGUGGACGCAUCACUGGUGUUCGGGUUGUCAUGCCAAUGGCACUGCCCGGUAG